rnacentral:tRNA from 1 species
GAGCCGCUAGCUCAGUUGGUAGAGCAUCUGACUUUUAAUCAGAUGGUCGAAGGUUCGAGUCCUUCGCGGCUCACCA